rnacentral:misc_RNA from 1 species
CUGCGUACGGCUGCCCCAGGAAUUCAGUUCCAGAUGCUGCCAUCUUCGCGGGGAAUCAAGCUUCUUCGUUUUUACUCCAGAGCUGACAGAGAUGAGGUCCGACUCAUGAGUCCGCUGCUUGCUGAUGGUCUGCAGCUAAAGUUGGAAUGUCCGGAAGAGACAGACAACAGAUUUUUCAGGCAGCCGCAGUGGCUCACUUUUGCUAUGAUUGUGGACUUCCCAACCGAGCAUUGGUCCGAGGCUUCAAUUCGUCGCUGUUUCGGUGCCUGUUGUGAAGUGGCAGAAGUGGACCCGCGAUGCCUCACAUGUGAUAACUUUGGCCCAAUCCGGGUGCUGCUAGAACUGAACCACUACCUUGAUCUACCGUCGGAAAUUUGGGUCACGACCACGGAUGGGGUUUCCAGGAGCGGAUGCAUCGCCCAGGUCUUGCCGCUGCGGGUUUGGCCCCGUGCCGACCAGCUUGGGCCGGAUGGUCGCCUAAGACGUUUUUUCCAGCAUAUGCCUCCUCCACCUGCGCCUCCUAUGCUAUCUGAGGUGCCUGCUGCUCUACCUCAUGUUCCACAACAGCAAAAUGCUAGCCCGGUGCGUAACGCCCAACAACAAGCCAACACCACCACCUCCCAGACGUCCUCUGCAUUUUCAACUGCUCAGCUCCUAUGCCUCUCCGCUGUGCUUGCCCAGCUUACUGGCCCACGCACAACAGAAACACAAUCACAACUGCCUCCUCAACAAAACACCACUCCUCAAAGCCAUUGCUCCAGCAAACGGCAGCCGACAUCACCCACUACUUUCAACGCUACCAGGCACAAAAGAGCUGGUCGCCCACCUCGAAACAAUGUUCCCAAGCCGAUCCAGCGCAAGAGCAGUCGGCUGGCGGCAAAAGCUAACAGAAAUUUCGUGGAUAUGACUAAUAAGGCGGUCAGGUUGAAGGAACUGAGGGAUACCCUACAAGGCUGCUCUACAGCGGUGAAGGGGGAAGUCCAGAAAAAAGGUUUGCUGUCGUUCAAUGGCGCCGAUCUCGAUACCAGCUCUUCGCAGGCUUGUUCACGCGGCAGGAUUGGGGUGCUCAGCUGCGAAUGCUGUUGGGGUGGUGCCGCUCGCCAAGGAAUGAUAGUCUGCACCUUUGUUGCUCAUGGUGCAGUGGGCACGUCGGUCUGCACCUCUCUGUGUGUCCCGUGGGGGUCUGUGUUCGGUUCUUUUGUUUUCAGCCUGCUCUACCUAGAAGAUGUCAAAACACUUAAGAAAAAUUUAGAUGACUUCUCGGAUGCGACUGGGCUGAAGAUCAACUUCUCAAAAAGCACCGCAGUUCCGAUGAACAUUGAUGAACAACACCUCCCUCUCAUGAUUGCCACCCUUGGUUGCAGGCUGGAGGGUUUCCCUCAGACAUACCUGGGACUACCACUGUCCCCACACAAGCUUCGUCUAUCGUCUUUUGCCCCACAUAUUGCCAAGGCAGAUAAGUACCUAGCAGGAUGGCAAGCUGCACUGUUAAACCCGAUGGGUCGAGCGGUUCUGAUAAAUUCGGUUUUGGACAGCCAACUCAUAUACAUCAUGUUGGCUGUUUUGGUUCCAAAUGGAGUUGUGGCACAUAUUGAUCGCAGGCGUAGAUCCUUCUUAUGGAAUGGAAACGACGAAUGCUUAGGGGCAAGCUGCUUAGUGGCGUGGGACACAGUGUGCACGCUAAAGGAGGAUGGGGGGCUGGGGAUCAAAGACUUGAAGCUGCACAACAUCUGUCUUUUGAUCAAGUUGAUACAUAGGUUGCACUCUGCUACAGACUCGUCAUGGGCAGUUUGGGUAAAAGAACACAUGAACAUGGCCACAAUGGAGGGGGAUCUAGGAGGACCACACUGGGAUAGCUUGCGGACACUUCUUCCGAUCUAUCAAGCGGUCAGUACCUCAACUGUGGGAGAUGGAUGCAGCACGAACUUCUGGCAUGACGCAUGGCAUGGAGAGGAUGAUCUAGCUACCAAACUGCCGGCCCUGUUUUCACAUUGUGUGAAGCAGCAGGCUAGUGUGGUGGAUGUCAUGGCCAAUGGACUUCAUCUUGUGACACGGUUGUCAUCACAAGCACAGUUAGAGUUACAUCAAGCUCAGAACAUCAUCAGUGGUACUCAACUUUCUCAGCAACCUGAUGAAAGAAAAUGCAUGUUAACCAGUACACACGGGAAAUUCCAGACGUCCGCUUUGUAUGAGCUUUUGAAGCGACCGGUCAGGUCAGAGAAUGUAUUGGCAGCGUUCGUAUGGAAUAACAAAACACCACCUAGGGUGAAGUUCUUUGCAUGGCUAAUGACUCAAGGGAGAAUACAGAGCAAGAGAAAUUUGCUGCGCAAGCGGAUUGUGGACGAAGAUGUAUGUGAAGAAUGCAAUCAGGAAAGUGAAUCGGCGGGCCACAUAGUCUUACAUUGCCCCUUUGCAAAACGAUUCUGGCAGGCAAUAGGCUUUCAAGUACCUGCUGAUUUGGAUGUCCACGAACUGCAUCUUAUUGCAGGAAGCAAUCCCCUUAAGCCGGAUCCUUCGACAAUGCAGUGA